GAGCGAUGUUUAUUUUUCUGCCCCGCUGAGUUCCUUCCCUUUUUUUUUCCCCAGCAAAUGUCUUUGAAUCAAUUUGUAAUGCUGCAUCCAAGACAUGGAAUAUUACCUGCAAAACUCCCAUGUGUGACUGAAGCGACCUAGUAUGGAAAUCAAAAACACCUGUGCUGGAUGAAGCUUGGCCUGUGACUGGAACGUUUAGGAAAGCACAUGUAGGAAGUGAGCACAGCAGACUGUAAGGAGCAGACAUUUAUAGGACAACCUUUCAUAAUCACCAGGCAUAUUCAUAAUAAUAAACAACUCAUUGACCAAACCCUGAUGACUUUGAUGGUCAACUUCUUUGAAAUUUAUAGUGAUAAAUAUGCAGAGACAAAGAGCAGGGUUAUAGGACAGCUCAGUGAGAGCCUUAGCAUACACUCAACCAAAGAAUCAUAGAAACAUGGGUAGUUUAUGUUGGAAGAAACCUUAAAGAUUAUCCAGUUCCAACCCCUGCUUAGGGGUGUUUGAUGCAAAGCAACUUGGGGUUUCCUUUUGUACAUGUGGAGUUUUGCAGGGGAUAUAUUUAGUAAAGAGUUCUC